CCUACGGGCGGCAGCAGUGAGGAAUAUUGGUCAAUGGGCGAGAGCCUGAACCAGCCAAGUCGCGUGAGGGAGUACUGCCCUAUGGGUUGUAAACCUCUUUUGUCGGGGAGCAAAAGCCGGAAGUGUCCGGCUGUGAGAGUACCCGAAGAAAAAGCAUCGGCUAACUCCGUACCAGCAGCCGCGGUAAAACGUAGGAUGAGAGCGUUAUCCGGAUUUAUUGGGUUUAAGGGGUGCGUAGGCGGUUGUUUAAGUUGGUGGUUAAACGUCGGUGCUAGACCUUGAUUUGCCAUUAAUAUUGUAAGACUCGAGUUCAGACGAGGUAGGCGGAAUAAGUUAAGUAGCGGUGAAAUGCUUAGAUAUAACUUAGAACUCCGAUAGCGAAGGCAGCUUACCAGACUGCGACUGACGCUGAAGCACGAGAGCGUGGGUAGCGAACAGGAUUAGAUACCCCAGUAGUC
rnacentral:rRNA from 1 species